rnacentral:tRNA from 1 species
GGGGAUGUGGCUCAGUGGUAGAGUGCUCACCCAGCACGUAUGAGGCCCUGGGUUUGAGCCUCAGCACCACA